rnacentral:rRNA from 1 species
GACGUAGGGGGCCAGCGUUGUUCGGAAUUACUGGGUGUAAAGGGUUCGUAGGCGGUGCGGCAAGUUGGGAGUGAAAUCUCUGGGCUUAACCCAGAGGCUGCUUCCAAAACUGCUGUGCUUGAGUGUGGGAGAGGCGCGUGGAAUUGCAGGUGUAGCGGUGAAAUGCGUAGAUAUCCGGAGGAACACCGGUGGCGAAGGCGGCUUCCUGGACCGACACUGACGCUGAGGCGCGAAAGCCAGGGGAGCAAACGGG